ACCUGCGGAGGGAUCAUUACACAACAAAAAUAUGAGGGUGUGGUUUGCUGGCAACAGCGUCCGCCCCAAGUAUUUUUCACCCAUGUCUUUUGCGCACUUUUUGUUUCCUGGGCGAGUUCGCUCGCCACCAGGACCCAACCAUAAACCUUUUUUUAUGCAGUUGCAAUCAGCGUCAGUAUAAUAAUUCAAUUUAUUAAAACUUUCAACAACGGAUCUCUUGGUUCUGGCAUCGAUGAAGAACGCAGCGAAAUGCGAUACGUAGUGUGAAUUGCAGAAUUCAGUGAAUCAUCGAAUCUUUGAACGCACAUUGCGCCCUUUGGUAUUCCAAAGGGCAUGCCUGUUCGAGCGUCAUUUGUACCCUCAAGCUUUGCUUGGUGUUGGGCGUCUUUUUGUCUCUCCCCUUGUUGGGGGAGACUCGCCUUAAAACGAUUGGCAGCCGACCUACUGGUUUUCGGAGCGCAGCACAAAUUUGCGCCUUCCAAUCCACGGGGCGGCAUCCAGCAAGCCUUUGUUUUCUAUAACAAAUCCACAUUUUGACCUCGGAUCAGGUAGGGAUACCCGCUGAACUUAAGCAUAUCAA
rnacentral:rRNA from 1 species